UACGUAGGGUGCAAGCGUUGUCCGGAAUUAUUGGGCGUAAAGAGCUCGUAGGCGGUCUGUCGCGUCUGGUGUGAAAAUCCAGGGCUUAACCCUGGACCUGCAUCGGGUACGGGCAGACUAGAGUGCGGUAGGGGAGAUCGGAAUUCCUGGUGUAGCGGUGAAAUGCGCAGAUAUCAGGAGGAACACCGAUGGCGAAGGCAGGUCUCUGGGCCACUACUGACGCUGAGAAGCGAAAGCAUGGGGAGCGAACAGG
rnacentral:rRNA from 1 species